rnacentral:rRNA from 1 species
UACGUAAGGACCGAGCGUUGUCCGGAAUCAUUGGGCGUAAAGGGUACGUAGGUGGUUAGAAAAGUUAGAAGUGAAAGGCUAUAGCUCAACUAUAGUAAGCUUUUAAAACUGCUCAUCUUGAGGUAUGGAAGGGAAAGUGGAAUUCCUAGUGUAGCGGUGAAAUGCGUAGAUAUUAAAAAGAAUACCGGUGGCGAAGGCGACUUACUGGGCUCAUUCUGACGCUGAGGAACGAAAGCGUGGGUAGCAAACAGG